GAUGAAGAACGUAGUGAAAUGCGAUAAGUAAUGUGAAUUGCAGAAUUCAGUGAAUCAUCGAAUCUUUGAACGCACCUUGCACCCUUUGGACUGCUCCAAAGGGUAUGCUCGUUUGAGUGUCAUUGUACUCUCACACUCUCUGAUCCUUUGGAUUUGGGGAGCAGUGGACUUGGGUGCUUGCUGCUUCCUUGUGGCUCACCUGAAAUGCAUCAGUGCAUCUCUCGAUUGGACAUAGUACGGCGUGAUAAGUGUCUUCGCCGGCACCUCGCAAGAGGGUGGCCGAUCGGGAGCUCUGCGCUUUCAAACCGUCUUAGGACAAUUUCUGACAUCUUGACCUCAAAUCGAGUAGGACUACCCGCUGAACUUAAGCAUAUCAAUAAGCGGAGGA
rnacentral:misc_RNA from 1 species